AAAAUUAAUAGCUCAAGUCUCUCAACACGCGGAUGGAUGAUGUUGUGGAGAGGGCCAUCGAGAGGGGGUUUGCAUUGCCAAAGUUGAAGGUGGCCAUCGCCUUGACCUGCCUGGACCUCCUGACCUUUCACAACGCUCAAACAGGAAACACAUGUUGGAGGAGGAGACCACAAGCUAAUUGUAAGCAUAAACUAUUUGUUAGCUAUCAAUCUCGUCCUUUGAGCAUAUAUACUUUAUUUCUUAAACCAUUAUGCAUGAGCUUUGUAGGAUGAUUUGGAUGAGUGGAUCAGAGGACGACAUGAGCAGGUAUUUCCAUUUGAUCAUACCCAAAAUGAUAAUGUAUACCCUAACUUAAGAUGAUGGCUCUUCUACUCUGCUAACAUAACAUCAAUGUGCUUGUGUGGAGUGCGUGCAAAAUUAAUAUCUCAAGUCUCUCAACACGCGGAUGUGGAGAGGGUUCUCCUAGCGGUCAUUGCAACUGUGAUAUGCAUUUCCUUGCUCUCGGCUCUGAUCAAGUUUGUAGCGUCUGGGAUGCAUAUGAAAAUCCACACGUGCGAUUUGGUUGUUAUAUUUUUUCCACACUGGUUUCUAGAGAUGUUCAAGUUAUCUCAUAUACUAUAUCGAAUUAUAAUGGAUAAGUUAGUGUACAUACUGAUUUGAAGAUCCUUUUGCUGUCAUACACAUAUUACUGUAGGACCAUAGCGGACCAUUGCAAUGCGGCAAAUCAAAUUUCAAUACUCAACACUCUUCUAUGUGGAUUAGUAAGUUGUUUAUCUACUUUCACUUUUAAAUUGUUUGUUGAAGACACUUGAUUCACUUUGUGCCUGUUACUUUAAUCUUGCUAAGUGCAUACAGAAAAAAUUCUACUUGCCCCUUGUCAUGCACAAAAUCGAAUAAACCUUGCAAAUUAGUUUACGCGAAUCUGGUCCUGUAGUUAAAUAUUAUUUGGUCUAUGAAAUGAGAUGAAGUUUGUCCCUAGAAUAUAUAAUGGACUGAAAACAAAACCCAAGAUGUGGCAAUUCAAACACCCAAAAGAAAUUACUUGCAUACCUUGUUGAGAUGAUCUUUUUAAAGUUUCUGCGUUUAUCUUUGGUAUCGUUAGUAUCUUCAGCCACAAUACGACCUGCAGGAAGACCACAGGUGGAGUGUGCUUGGACGGCAGCUUGGCCGCCAGCUACACGCCCUUCUAGGCGGCCAGGCAGAGAUUCUUUGCCUCGGCAACCGCCUUGGCCUAGAGCCAUGCCAGGUCGUCGUCGCCGAGGAUGGACGCCAGCAACAACAUCGAUCUCUGAUACCGACGAAGUUGGUUGUGGGGCGGGACCAUGGCGGGGUGGCGCGAGGCCAUGGUGGGGAGAGGACAUGGGCACGAGGCUGUGGAGGCUGACGGGAGAGGAGGUCGGCAGAGCAACGCCAUGGUGGGGACAAGCGGCUUGUGUGAUCGGCUGCUGUGUAGUGAGGGGGCUACCUGUACGGUGAGAAGCGGUACGGUGAGGUACCUGUACAUAUAGGAGUGGCUACCUGUACGUUGAGAGCAGUCCUAAAUACGCCCAACAAGUGAUCUAGACGUACCACAUGGCACAUGUGGCCAACUAUCCAUGGCACAUGUGACCAACUAUCCAAGUUAAGUUGAUGAUGAGUAUUUGAUGAAAGUGAUCUAGACAUGAGCCCGUGUACAUAAGAUCUAGAUAUAUGGAAAUCUCACAAAUUCGGAGAAACCAUCUAGCGUACUUCUCAAUUUUGGUAUUGGUGGUGCCAUUGUUAUUCGAGAUUAUUUUGAUGUUAAUUUUUUGUCUUUUGAAUUUAAAAUACUUGAAUCAUGAUCUGGGUGCUUCUUCUUGAUCUGGUCGGUGAGUGAGGAUGUAAGAAACAGGGACAUAGAUGCACAUUGGGGUUAGAAUUUAGGGAGAUAGAAACCAUCUAAAGUCUCUCUGCCCUAAAAUAAAUCUGAACCCUUAUAAUGAAACUUGAUGCCCGUGCAGAUGAAUCAGAAUAUUUAAUUAUCUUAUAACUAUGCAUAUGGUGAUGGAGCAGCUAUUUGGGCAGAUCUCCUGCUGUUCUAGCAAAGUUUGGUUUAGUAUUUUGUUUUUCUUUACGAAAGAUCAAGUAAUCUGAUAUCAAGCUCCUUCUUUUACAGUAAUCGAAUUUUGAGUUUGCAAUGAUUGUUCCUGCCUAAUUGGCAAUAUAUAUUCACAACAAAUUAUUUUUGUUGUCAGACGAAGGGCAUGACGGAUGGCACCAGCGGAAAGGUGAGCGCCAGUGGAGAUAAGCGAGAAAAGGAGUAGCGCGAGGCAGUAGGCAGCCUUGAAGAGGAUGAGAGGGCCCGCUGCUG
rnacentral:lncRNA from 1 species